rnacentral:lncRNA from 1 species
CUUGGUUUAAUAGCUUCCUUGUAAGCAGCAACCUUCUAUCAAGAAAAUCAUGAUAGGAAAUGCAAGUACGGGAAUAUCGUAUCAACUGGGAGAUAUAUACCCCGUAUGCAGGUGCUGCUGGAAUGUUGCUACUUAGAAACGGAAAGUUCAUAAUUGGAAAUCUGAAAUCAUCUGUUUUUUCGUAAAGUUUUGUUUUCAACCGACCCUCAUACCGCAACUGAUAACAUUGGCGAUAUUUUGGCAACUUUUUAGAAAAAGGUCAGAAACAAAUGCAAGUUCUGUGUAUUGUACCAAACUGCUUUAAUAUACUUUUG